UCGAGAAUCAUUCGCAAUGGGCGAAAGCCUGACGAUGCGACGCUGUGUGAGCGAUGAAGGCCUUCGGGUCGUAAAGCUCUUUCGCUUGGGAACAAGAGAAGUUAGUGAACAACUAGCUAAUUUGAGGGUACCAGGUAAAGAAGCACCGGCUAACUCCGUGCCAGCAGCUGCGGUAAUACGGAGGGUGCAAGCAUUAAUCGGAUUUAUUGGGCGUAAAGGGCGCGUAGGCGGAAAUAUAAGUCAGAUGUGAAAUCCCGGGGCUCAACCCCGGAACUGCAUUUGAAACUAUAUUCCUUGAGGGUAGGCGGAGAAAACGGAAUUCCACAUGUAGCGGUGAAAUGCGUAGAUAUGUGGCAGAACAUCGGUGGCGAAGGCGGUUUUCUAGCUUAUUCCUGACGCUGAGGCGCGAAAGUAAGGGGAUCAAACAG
rnacentral:rRNA from 1 species